rnacentral:lncRNA from 1 species
CACUCCACUCAACAGAGUCUCCGGACUAUACGUUCCUCCGCAGCGGCGCGACGGUAAGCGCAAACUAUACGACGAGAAGGGAAGGAAGUCGAGUCCCUCAGUUUUAACUCGUCGGCCGUACCGAUCGGAUCUACCGGUCGCGAACGACGCGAUUACUAGUUAACUAGCUAGCUCUAGCUAGUUGAACGAUUUUUCUUGAACUUUAUCAGUCGACCGUGAAACGCUCGAAACGUAAGAGCAGACAAAAGUUAUU